rnacentral:piRNA from 2 species
UCACUGUAGCCAUGGACGCUCUUGAGCAGC